rnacentral:misc_RNA from 1 species
UCGACCACACUGUCCCAUCGUAUCUUUUUCUUCUUGUUCUACUUCUUGUUCUUCUUUUUCCCUCUUCCCUCUUCCUUCCUUAUACUCAUCUCUGCACUCAUCUAUCUAUCCAUUUCUCUAGCUUUACGUAUUUUAUUAAGAUUUAUAAAGGAAAGUCACCAAAUCCCGCCUUCACCACCUUUUCUCAAUAUUCACACACCCCUAAAGACUCUUUUCCUAACAUCCAUCAAAACCGUAAUUUGAAGCGAAAAAUAGGGGAGAAGGCGUCUAUUAGACGUUCUGUUCAAUCACGAUCUAACUAUGAGUGACGCGUUUUUUUUAAUAAUUUUACAAGAUCUGUACACUGGUGUUAACGUGCUCAUGUAACAUAACGAUUUCUUUCUUUUUUGUGUCUUAAAGUUUGAUAGUCAAAACAUUUUCAAGGCCGAUAAUAAUAAAAAAAGAAAAUAGGCUUAAUUGCUCUUAAUAUUGAUUGCGCUCAAGAAACUGCUAGAAUUCUAAUUAGUAGAGGGUUGAAUAAAGAAAAAAAACAGCCAAGUCUGACCUUUAUAUUGACACGUGCAUAAUAGGAAAGAAGAGAUUUCUAAUAGAGCAUAGAACGGUAAAGAGCUGAAAGAAGGAGAGAUAGGCUUGGGUGUAUGAGAGUUGUGGAUAGUAAAUAAAAAAGAAAGAUAUCAAGGAGUGGGGUGAGGAGAAAGAUACGGCAUAAAUAGGCAAAGAGUAAAUAAUAUAGUGAGAAAGGAAGAGUAAGCUUUUUGAAUUGUCUCUUAUACAAUCAUCUUCUAAAAGAAUAAACAAUGGAAUUAUGGAUUCUAAAAAUAUUCUCCCUCUCACUUAUCUCUAUUAUAUCGUUUGUCAUGGGUCUUCUUCCCCUAAAACCAUUAACUAUGCUCAAGAACAAAAGGAUAAAAGACGAAACUUCUAAAAAUAUUAUAGAUUAUUUAAACUGCUUUGCUGGUGGGAUAUUUUUAGGAACGCUACUUCUCCACCUCUUACCGGAAGUUAAUGAACAACUAGCCAUCUUCGAAAAAGCUAAUGGAUUGACAAUUGAUUAUCCUUUGGCUGAAUUCUUAACGGCUAUUGGCUUUCUGCUAGUGCUAAUCCUUGAAAAUUUAGCGGUUGUUUGUCAACGAAGAUGGGUAAUUGCAAAAAAUUUAUUUCCCUCAGAAAGUGGAGAGCAUUCUCCUUUGUUAAAGGAUUGUCAGGCCUCUUAUGAAAAUGUGAAAGCAGAGAUAAGGACUGAAGUUAACCUAGCUGAAGGACAGCAAUCCGACCAUAAUUCCUCUCUUUUAUCUAAUUCUCAUCCUCCUCAUUCUCAAACCUAUGCCCAUCAUCAUUGUCAUGAUCAUCACCCUUCUCAUUCCCCUCCUAUUGCUCCCCCUCCUCCUUCCCCUCCUCCUUCUUCUCCUCCUUCACCUUCUACGUCUUCGAUGCAGAGUGGGAUGAGAGCUGUUGUUUUACUUUUGGCCUUGAGUUUACACAUGAUUUUUGAAGGUUUGGCUGUUGGUCUUCAAAAUAAAAAAGGUCAAAUGUGGAGUUUGACUAUAGCUAUCCUAUUACAUAAAUCUAUAAUAAUAUUCUCAUUAGGCGUUCAGUUCACCAAGCAAUUUUCAAACGAUACUAGAAGGAUAGUAACGCUAAUAGCAGCUUUUUCUAUUAUGACACCAGUUGGUAUAGCAGUUGGUACAGUAAUUACCUUUUUAGGAAAUAAGGCAAAGCCAAGUUCCAGUUUAAAUUUGGUGAGCGCAGUUCUUCAGGGACUUUCAACAGGAACUUUUCUGUUUGUCAGCUUUUUUGAAAUUUUACACAAGGCUAUUGGUGAUAAUGACGACCUUAUGAAAAUUUUAUGCGUCCUAUUCGGCUUCAGUCUCUCAGCUCUUGUUAAUUUUUACUUCUAGACUUAAUUAUUAUCUUGUCAUUUUUUUUUAUGCAUAUCGACUCUCUCUCUCUCCCCCUUUCUUUUUUUUUCUCUCUCUCUCUCUGAGGACAUAAAUAUGAAUAUACA